AGCAGCCGCGGUAAUUCCAGCUCCAAUAGCGUAUAUUAAAGUUGUUGUGGUUAAAAAGCUCGUAGUUGAACCUUGGGCCUGGCUGGCCGGUCCGCCUCACCGCGUGUACUGGUCCGGCCGGGCCUUUCCCUCUGUGGAACCCCAUGCCCUUCACUGGGUGUGGCGGGGAAACAGGACUUUUACUUUGAAAAAAUUAGAGUGCUCCAGGCAGGCCUAUGCUCGAAUACAUUAGCAUGGAAUAAUAGAAUAGGACGUGUGGUUCUAUUUUGUUGGUUUCUAGGACCGCCGUAAUGAUUAAUAGGGAUAGUCGGGGGCAUCAGUAUUCAAUUGUCAGAGGUGAAAUUCUUGGAUUUAUUGAAGACUAACUACUGCGAAAGCAUUUGCCAAGGAUGUUUUCAUUAAUCAGGAGCGAAAGUUAGGGGAUCGAAGACGAUCAGAUACCGUCGUAGUCUUAACCAUAAACUAUGCCGACUAGGGAUCGGGACGAUGUUAUUAUUUG
rnacentral:rRNA from 1 species